CACGUGUCCUCAUCCCCCUCCCAUUGGAGCGGCGAUCGGCGUCGCUUCUCUCCAUCUCGUAGCCCUCCUCAGGGCCCGUUCUUGGUUCUCUUGGACCGUGAAGACGUCGGGCAUGUCGACGGAGAGGAAGCGGAAGGUGAGCCUCUUCGACGUGGUGGACGAGUCCGCCGUGUCGGUGAAGCUGGCCGAGGUCAAUGGCUCCGCCCCGGACCGGCGGCGGCCACCCCCGUGGAGCCGCCGGGGAUCAACCGGUGGAGCGGCGGCCCUGCUCGGAGAGAUACUUCGAAAUCCUUGAGAAGAGGAAGACCCUGCCAAUCUGGCAGCAGAAAGACGAGCUCUUGCAAGCACUCAAGGCCAACGAGACCCUGAUCCUCGUCGGAGAGACCGGCAGUGGCAAAACGACCCAGGUUAAUCGGCAUUGCUCCACACUAUCAUGAUCUCAGCAAUUUUCCUUCCUGUGAGGCAAAACGAGUUUAGAAAGGCUGUACAAAAAGCGUGAGAAAGAGAAGGGCGAGAGCAAAGCCAGAAACAGAGCCUUGUAGAUUGAUUUUGCUAGUGCGAUGGUGUGUUUGACAAGAAUGGUUGCACAAACAUCUUAGUUCAUCACCGUGUGAUUGGUGCCUUCAAUGUCCUUUUAAGUAGUUGCAUGCUGUUCCCAGUGAAAAAUACAAGAGCAUUUUUUUUCUUUCUGAUGGAGCUAAUGUUGAGCCUAAAAAUGGUUUUCAAUCGGUGUUUUUAACAUGCUCGUGAUUUCUCUCCAGGUUUAUCUUGAAGUGCCAAACUUUUCCUGAAUGCUGCUUCCCUAAGUUGCACCGGAGGAUAUGGUGCUGCAUGUACUUGGGUUCAAGGCAGAGCCUAUUAUUUUGUGUUUUCUUGUGCUUAAACGGAAGAUUUAUUUCUUCUGCAUAAAUUAUAAUGCCACUCGGGGGUUGCAGAAACUGACUGCUGAAAGGAGGUCAGAAAAUCUCUCAUUUGGGACCUUGUCUCUGUCCCUUGGUGUUUUGUAUUAACUUUGGAACAACCCUCUCCUAAUUACCCUGCCUCUAUUGUUUAUUUCUGGUGUUUGAACUUUUAUCUAAAUUAAAUUUGUCGAGGCAGUUAGCUUUAUGAUAUGGAUGAGUUGUGUUAAAUAUAUAUGGAUUUUUUCUGGAUCUGAAUCUGAAUCAUUUUGGUUUGAUA